AUUUUUCCAUCCAUCAGCUACACCGCACAGCAUAAUUUUUUCUCGUUCGUUCAUGUCGUUCACUCUCGUAAAAUGUUAUUUGUGAUUUUGGUGUUAAUCUAAUAAUCUUUACGGCAGUUUUGCUAAAAUGGGGUCGAAACAAAAAGUGAAUGCUAAAAAUCGUGGUUCUCGGCGACAACUGCGAUCCACUAGACCGGCUCCGCUACCACCGCCAGCCGAAUGGUCAACCGACGAAAGCGAAAGGGGCGUAACGCCAACACCUUCCAGUGGAAGCUGCAAACGCCGGCGACCGCUUCGUAAACGAAUGCCUGUUUGGGAAAGUAGCGAUGACACCGCUGCGGAAAAUUCCAAAUCUAAAGCGGACGAUGGUGACGAUUCGGAUUCCUCAGCUGGCGAUAAUCCUGUGGCAAGGAUGCUAGAAAUAAGUCGACUGCCGCUCAUGAUCAUGGAAGUUCGCAAAUUGAGUGAAGAAAUUGGGAAGGUGUGUGACGAAUUGGAGAAAACAAUAACCAGCGACUCCCCGGAUCAAGAUAUAAUGCUAGAUAAGCUUAAAAAGAAGCUGCUAGAUUUGACCCAAAAGUGCUACCGUAAAGUUGUUCCAGCUUCUGAAGAAACCGAUCUAUCGACCAAAAAGGCAGACAAAUCUCAAUCGAAACACGCGGAGUUCCGGAGAACAAACUCUACGAAAUUAAUUUCGAAGAAGCGCAUCAAACGCUCCAAUAGUGUUGAUUACACUGAAUACUGUUCCAAACCGGAGCCAGAGAAGAGUCAGGAACUAAUGGAAGCUAUACCAGCUGAUGAAUCCACGACGAAAGACAGUGGAAAUCCGUCGUCUGGACAUGAUGAGUCCGUAGCAACGAUGAAAACCUCAGAAGACGUCAUUCAUUCUUCUGUCGAGCUGCAAAGCCAUUCGGCAAUCCCGUUGCACGACGAAUGUGAACCUUCUCGAGAAGACCAAAAUAAUGACAUGACAGAAACAUGCCACGAUUUGGCUACAGAUGUUGUUAAAGCUCUAGUUACAUGUAAUUAUGAUUCACAGCAAUUCAACAGCCUGACUUUGGAAGCCCCGUUGCCUGACGAAUGUGAACCGAUCCGAGAAGAUCUUAAUAAUGACAAAGCAAAACCGUGCUCCGAUUUGGCUGCAUACGUUGUUGAAGCUCUAGUUACCUGUAAUUAUGAUUCACAACAAUUCAACAGCCUGACUUUGGCAGCCUCGUUGCCCGACGAAUGUGAACCGAUCCGAGAAGACCAAAAUAAUGACAAAACGAAAACGUGCUCCGAUUUGUCAGCAGAUGUUGAAGCUCCAGUUACAAGUUACUAUGACUCACAACAAUUCAAUAACCUGAGUUUGUCCAGAGAGGAUGAUGGCAUUGACCAGAUUAAAAAGGAAAAUAAUAGUAAGUCGGACAAGGAAGAAGUAUCGGUGAUAAACGACGACAUUUUCGGGUUCCACAAUUAUGCUACACCUCAACGGAGAUUAUCAAAUCAUCCUCCCGCUGUUUCAGAAACUGUGAAACAAGAAAUCAAGAAGGAAGCCCUUGAUUACCAAAAGCAGCACAUCGUGUACACACCAACCGGAACCCGUCCAACCCCAAAGGGAAAGUUGAUUAUUGGCGCGAAACCGAACGUCAUCGUUUUUUCAUCGACAACUGAAAAAGACCUCAUUCAGGAAUCAGGAACAACUGACACAAAACCUGAAUAUCUUUACCAAGCGGAGCCCAGUACUUCGAAAAAUUUUAACGUAAAAUUAAUACCCAAAGCAAACGAAAACGACGGUUCCAAGUUUAUCACCGCCGCCGAUCCAAACCCAAAUCGUGAACCAACGAACGACGAAAUACGUUAUAUUGUACCGCACCUGCCAAAGUUCAGCGUGUCGCAGGUACCACAAGGCGAAAAUUACGAAUUAUCGCUGAUGAAACGGGAGAUUGAGCAGCGUCUGCGGGUGAAUGAUUUGUCGUACGUUACCCAACGAGCAAUUCGCGAUGAAACGUCCCGUGUGAAAAAAGUAGACCGCAAUAACCAUCGACUUGAGCAGGAGAUGGCACGCUUUGGUGGCUCAGUGCCUGCUAACCAAUUGAUCUUGGACUAUGAACCAGAAAGAAAGACAUUUAUACGCGUCCAUCCGGAGCUGGUGGCAAAAAUGAAGCCUCACCAGAAGGAAGGUGUUAAGUUUAUGUACGACUGCUGCUAUGGAGGCAGCUUUGAGGGUAGGUCAGCCGGAUCGGGAUGCAUAUUGGCACAUUGCAUGGGACUGGGGAAAACGAUGCAGGUCAUCGCGCUCAUGAACACAGUAAUUUGCUAUCCCCAACUGAACACGAAGCGAAUUAUUGUGGUUUGUCCGAAAUCUACAGUUAUGAAUUGGGCGCAGGAGAUUCGCUUUUGGCUAGGCGACAUCCCCAGCGGAGUGGCCGUGCAGACAUUCUAUAUGCCGGAUAAUUCCAACAUCUAUAAGAAACUAGAAGUUCUUCGAGGAUUUUACAACGUAACCAACAAAAAUGCCCAUUGCCUAGUAAUAGGCUACGAAGCAUUCCGCUCGUUGGUAUUCUACGAUGCUCGCAACAAAAACGGCGAACAGCAUUCCGAACGGAUUCGUACUGAAGUGCGGCGUAUACUUAUAAAUCCGGGUGCGGAUUUGAUUGUGUUGGAUGAAGGUCACAUAAUCAAGAAUCGUAAAUCUCAAACGAAUCUGUCUGUUUCGGAAGUGGCCACCAAACGUCGUAUAAUUUUAACCGGCACUCCAAUUCAAAAUAAUCUUAAUGAGUAUUUCUGUAUGGUAAGCUUUGUCAAGCCGGCAUACCUGGGCAAUGAGAAAGAAUUCAACGAGCAGUACGCCAAACCUAUCAAAGAUGGACAACACAAAGAUUCUAGCGUCAGUGACAUUCGUUACAUGAAAAUGAAAUCGUUCAUACUGCACAAACGGUUGACGAGCUUUGUGCAGCGUAAAGAGUUCACCGUUCUCGAAGAUUUCCUGCCAGAAAAAUAUGAGUACGUAUUGUACGUACCCCUGACUCCGGUGCAGGAAGAUUUAUAUGAGCAGUACCUGAAAAGGAAUCCUUUCCGAAAGGAUGUUGGCGGCAGGAACUUGCUGGAAGAUUAUACGUUCAUGCGUAAAAUUUGGACACAUCCCAUUGUGCUGGAAAAGGCUUUUGAAACGGCUAUGAAGAAAAAAUACGGGAUCAAGGAGAAGCGUAAGGCAGUCCGUCGUGUUCGUGGAUUUGAUAGCAGUUCUGAGGAUGACGAUGAUAACGAAGCUGAUAACGCUCGCUCGAUUACCAACAUUUGGUGGAAGCAAAUCAUCAGUAAAGAUGAUUUGGAGUCCCUAUUUCCUAGCAACAAAAUGUUGCUUUUGUUCGAAAUCCUUCGAAUGUGCCAGGAAAAAGGUGAAAAGUGUUUGAUAUUUUCCGGUUUCGUAAUGGUGCUCAACAUGGUGGAACACUUUAUGAAGAUGAUCGACGAACAGAACAAGAAUCCCAAAGCACACCUCUAUGGGUUCUCUCGGUUCCGUGGUCCAUGGCGUCCAGGGAUGGACUACUACCGCCUUGAUGGUGGUACGUCGAAAUCGAUCAGACACGAAAUGAUCACCAAAUUUAACGAUCCAAAGAAUCGAGUCACUCGAGUGUUUCUAAUUUCCACCAAAGCUGGAGGACAAGGCAUUAAUUUGGUGGGCGCAAACCGUGUGGUUAUUUUAGACACAUCCUGGAAUCCGGCUGUUGAUCAGCAGGGUAUUUUCCGCAUCUAUCGUUUGGGACAGCAGAAGCCUUGCUAUAUUUACCGCUUAUUAGCGAUUCAUACAAUGGAAGAGAAAGUGUACUCCCGGGCGGUUACCAAACAAGCCAUGAGUCACCGGGUUGCGGAUAAAAAGCAGGUGGAUCGGAAUUACAAUAUGGCUGAACUGGAAGAACUUUACCACUUCGAGAGAGUAAACAUGAGUGCACGGCCGAUUCCUCCUCCAGCGGUAGAUGAUUUGUUGUCUACGCUACUGCUUAAUUUCCCCAAGUUUAUUUUCCGAUACCACAUGCACGAGACUAUGCUCGACAACAAAACUGAAAAGGAUUUAACCGAUUUUGAAAAGCAACUCGCAUGGAAUGAGUUCAAGAAGAAAGGAUUGGAGUUGAACUUGGAUUUCGGUAUGGGUGAGAUUGGUAAAACAGAUUCCCAACUGUCCGAAAUAGACGUAGAUUUGGAUUUGCGGGAUUUGUUCGAAAAAUCGUGUGAACCUAAAAUUGAAUCAUCGAUCUCGGAGGCAGUGGAUAACAAACCUUUGAUCAUACCGGCCCGACAAUUGACCAACGAGAAUUCUAAACAUGUGGACCCAAAAACAACGAAUACCGAUGUCGCCAUCUUUGGCGAGGACCCAUACAAUGAGAUUAGUUUGGGAUGUAGUAUUAUCGAGGAACAGCGUAAAAAAUUGGGCAUCAAAUCUGAGCAAAGAAAGUCAAUGCUCUCACAGGUUACCGUUUCCAAUGCGGAGGUAGAGUUGCUGCGAACUCUUGAGGACCAAAAAAGUACUCCUCUCACAUCAGUUGAAAUCAUACCAAAACCGCAUGGUUGUGACAUAGAUACAGAAGAUAUUCUGAAUUUGUCGUAUGAGAGCGGUACAUCAGUUCCAAGCUCGUUACCUACAAUGACCGAACCUUCGUCAGUGUUUAUCGGAGCCUCAUUAUCAUCGAUGAUCGAGUACGAUCCGAUAACAAGCAGCCAAGACCAUUUCGUAACUGAAAGUUGCACAAACUCUUACCGUGAAAGCAUGGGAUCGACUAACGCCAGUGUGGGUGAAACUUCAACCUACGAGAAAUUCGAAGCCUGUUUGAAAGCAGAUCCCAAAGUAGUAACAAGUACUGUUGCUCCCCCACCAUCCUUGGUGUUGGUAGCAACUGCCACAGGCGAUUUUCAAGUCGAAGUUCAAAUGCACGGCGAAACCUCCAAGGCAUCAAUUUCUAUGGAACCGUUGCUUACCCGCAGCAUGAAGCGAAAGAUGAUGGCUAUGAGCAGUUCUGCCGCAAAGCCAAAGAAAGCUAAGAUGUGCUACACAAGUGAAGCAACCGUUCAAUUUGAAAGCCCCGAAAAUGAUAAUCUCGAUCGUUUAAAUCAAUGUCGGGCUGUAGUACCGUUCGUCGAUCAAACUGCUAAAAGUCGCGUUAUCUUUAAUUGCCAUUUACGACAAUAUCUUGAACAAUCAGUUCAAGUUGUAACAACAAAUAAUAGUUGUUAUUCCCUUGUACCUUAUGUUAAACGAGUUUCCCUACUGGAUGACAUUCUUCGCCGCUAUGGAUAUCAUCCGGAGUUGAUCGGCUCAUUUCCACUUCGAACUGUUCAAAUUGAUAAUGAUGCUGAAAUCGACAAAAGCUCUGCUCAAGCUUUACGCCAGACAACAACCCUCUCGUGGAACGGAGAGGACGCCAACUCUGCGGAUUUUGAAUGUUUUUACGACGAGAAUAGCGGAGAAUACUACACGGCGGAAUCAAAUUUAUAUGCCGCCCACGAUGAAAGCGAUCAGCUAACCCUCACCCAGUCUACUCCUCCGGAUUCCCAGCAAAUGUAUACUCAGCAAGCGAUCCAGCAGAGCAGUGAUCAAGAAUUGAUGAAUGAUCUGGAAGAACUGCGAGCAGUUUUUUCAGAUGACAUGGACAUGAAUACAAGUUCAUCGUAUUGCUCGGCAGUCGUGCCGUACAAUCCUCCGGUUUCCAUUUGGGAUCAGCAAAAAUACGACUAUUUGGCAACUCCAUUGGCAAUAUAUCGCCCCAUUCGAUCAUUCUGGGACCAGAAAGAUUUUUACGCACGAAUUUUCCAAGCCGAACGAAAACGCCAAAUUAUCCGAAAUCAGCACAAUAAGUGCUUUCGAUACAUUCCGUACAACAAAGAAGACAGGAAAUGGAGAAGUCAUAUUCCGUCCACUCACGAGGGUAGGAAAGCAGCCGACAAAGAUUUAUCGAUUAUGGAUUCCACUGAGCAAUCAAACGACGUGGACAUUGGCGUUAGUAUGGCACUGCUGCCCUACACAGGGAAUUGCAUUCUUAAUGCAAUCCGAAAACAAAUUUCUCUGCUUGAACCGAAAAUCGUCGUACUGAGUUCGGAGCUGGUUGAGUAUUUGACAUUCUGUCGAAAUGUAACAUGUCAGUCCACAUCACAAGGCAUGGUUAGUUUCAAAUCGCACCGUGGCGUCAAACGUAAACUUGAGGAAUACUUGUCCCAAACGGUAGGGAAACCGAAAAAAUACAAGGAGUAGAAAAACGGAUAUAAUUGUUAAGGAUGUUUUUUUUCGGAUAUUAUUCAUUGGAUACGUACUUAGACUACAAUAAAUAGCACUAUGAGCUCAGAUGGAUACUUGUUAGCAAGGUGCACUUCUGAUUCAACAACUGGAUUACUAAUCGUUCACAUUAUUUCAUUCAAUAAUUAAGGCUUUUUUCAUUAUCACUCAGUGCAUGGUGCAUUGAUUUCAAAUACUUUAUUACAUGUUCUUGUUUGAAACUGUUUUUUUCGUGUUACAUACAAUCUACAAACAUUAUCGUGUUUGUAAUGUUUUAAUAUGUUGACCUCAUAAUAAAUACAUUUUGAAAACA